UGGGGAAUAUUGCACAAUGGGCGCAAGCCUGAUGCAGCCAUGCCGCGUGUAUGAAGAAGGCCUUCGGGUUGUAAAGUACUUUCAGUCGGGAGGAAGGUGUCAAGGUUAAUAACCUUGGCAAUUGACGUUACCGACAGAAGAAGCACCGGCUAACUCCGUGCCAGCAGCCGCGGUAAUACGGAGGGUGCAAGCGUUCAUCGGAAUUACUGGGCGUAAAGCGCACGCAGGCGGUUGAUUGAGUCAGAUGUGAAAUCCCCGGGCUUAACCCGGGAAUUGCAUCUGAUACUGGUCAGCUAGAGUCUUGUAGAGGGGGGUAGAAUUCCAUGUGUAGCGGUGAAAUGCGUAGAGAUGUGGAGGAAUACCGGUGGCGAAGGCGGCCCCCUGGACAAAGACUGACGCUCAGGUGCGAAAACGUGGGGAGCAAACAGG
rnacentral:rRNA from 1 species